rnacentral:misc_RNA from 1 species
AUGACCAUGCAAAGUAACCUUUGAGAUUAACAUUGUAUUCCUUGAGGGACCCCAAUGCAUGCCACAUAUGCUCCCGAUAAUAGUCUAUCCUGAAUUUAUCCUUCAUAACUUGCUCAGGAGUUAAGGAUUCGUUAUUGUAUCUAUCAACCCCAUUCUCAGUAAUGAAAAUUACUGGAUUAUCAUAUGUAUCUUUGGUGUAGUUUAGAAGAUGUCGGAUGCCUUUCGGAAAAAUAUAAAACCAAGGUGAGUAAGCAUGUGGACCAAUUGGUUUGCCAUCAUAAUCAAAAGCAGUUUCAAUAAUGCGGCUAUCAGUCUUGUAUCUAACAUGAUUUGGAUCAAAUGGAGCAUUUGGUUUUGCAUAAUACGAAGUAUAAUAUUGUAAUCCAAGAAAAUCAUACGAUUUUCUAAGCAAUUGAGUUUCUUCAUCAGUAAAUUUGGGCAAUCUAUCUCCAACUAAAUCCUUCACCCUUCUCGGAUAUUGACCGUAAGUUAAAGGAUCCAUCCACCUAGAAAAUAUGAAAAAGUUGUUAUUAUUAAUCAAAGGCCUGUGUACUUAAUAAAUCUCUAAUUACUAGCUUAAUUUGAGAGAAAGACUCACAAUCCAAACAUGAAAUCAAGA